GAUGAACGCUGGCGGCGUGCCUAAUACAUGCAAGUCGAGCGAACAAACGAGGAGCUUGCUCCUCUGACGUUAGCGGCGGACGGGUGAGUAGCACGUGGAUAACCUACCUAUAAGACUGGGAUAACUUCGGGAAACCGGAGCUAAUACCGGAUAAUAUAUUGAACCGCAUGGUUCAAUAGUGAAAGACGGUUUUGCUGUCACUUAUAGAUGGAUCCGCGCCGCAUUAGCUAGUUGGUAAGGUAACGGCCUACCAAGGCGACGAUGCGUAGCCGACCUGAGAGGGUGAUCGGCCACACUGGAACUGAGACACGGUCCAGACUCCUACGGGAGGCAGCAGUAGGGAAUCUUCCGCAAUGGGCGAAAGCCUGACGGAGCAACGCCGCGUGAGUGAUGAAGGUCUUCGGAUCGUAAAACUCUGUUAUUAGGGAAGAACAAAUGUGUAAGUAACUAUGCACGUCUUGACGGUACCUAAUCAGAAAGCCACGGCUAACUACGUG
rnacentral:rRNA from 1 species